ensembl:misc_RNA Metazoa_SRP Metazoan signal recognition particle RNA
GCCAGGCAUGGCGGUGCAUGCCUGUAGUCCCAGCUACUCAGGAGGCUGAGGCAGGAGAAUCACUUGAACCCAGGAGGCAGAGGCUGUAGUGAGCUGAGAUCGUACCACUGCACUCCAGCCUGGGUGACAGAGUGAGACUCUGUCUCAA